GAUUACAAAAUGCAAAUUCAACCUUUCCCCUAAUACCUGCAUAUCCUCAUCUCUCUCACCAACUUUAGCAAUUUUCAGUUCUCAAUCUAACCAAAUCAAUUCAUCAUUACUACUGUUUCUCACAUUCAAUCAAUUAACUAAGAUACUAAAAUUUAUGUACUUUUCUUUCACAAAUAUAGAAUAGUUGGUUUUACAAUUUUUUUAUUUUAUUUUCAUCGGAUUGGAUUUUUUUUUGGUUAGAGAAACCCUAAUUCUUUGGUUUGGAAUAUCUGGGUGGUGUCUCAAUUUGGUGAAUACCCUUCCAAGUUGGAAGUUGAAUUUUGAAACUUUUGACGAAGAUGGCCAAUGGGAAAGUGGUAACACCCAAUUGGUUCCAAAAGAAGGUCACCGAUCCCCUUCUCGCCAUUAUCCGCAGAGGAGCUGAACCAAACCAGUUGGCUUUUUCUGCUGCCCUUGGUCUUACAUUGGGAGUGUUUCCUAUAUGUGGCGUCACUGUAUUCCUCUGUGGGGUGGCUAUUGCGUUGCUUGGACGACUUUGCCAUGCUCCAACUGUGAUGCUAGCGAACUUCAUUGCUACUCCAAUAGAGUUGAGUUUGGUUGUACCCUUUUUACGCUUUGGAGAAGUUAUCACUGGUGGAUCUCAUUUCCCUUUAACAUCUGAUGCUUUAAAGAAAGUCUUUACUGGCGAAGCCUCACAUGAAGUCCUAAUAAGUAUUGCCCAUGCGUUAUUAGGGUGGCUUGCUGCUUCACCGAUCAUUUUGGGUACACUAUUCUUAGUACUUUUGCCGAUCUUCAAAAUUCUGGUUCGUAAAUUCUCAAGUCCUUCAAGUCCAAAGAAGCCUCUCCAUCCAAACUCAGAAAUAAAGCUGAAGAAUAACAAAGACUUGUAAUGCUGAGAUUGAUAACAAUGUAUCCUAUCUGUAAACUAUGUUUUUGUAAGGAACUUGGUUCACUCGAACGAGAACCCCUGAUGAAGUCCAAGCUUACGGAUUAAUGUUAUAAAUAUCUAUCUUUAACUUUAAGUAUUAUUUACAUUUGCUUCUUUCAUAGCCUCUUUGUAGCAUUUCAAUAUAAUUGUAACGUAAUAUUAUCUGUAUGUUGUGUCUUCAAUAACUUAAUAUUAAAUCAUUCUUUGAAAUAUAAAA